CCUACGGGUGGCAGCAGUGGGGAAUAUUGGACAAUGGGGGGAACCCUGAUCCAGCCAUGCCGCGUGUGUGAAGAAGGCCCUCGGGUUGUAAAGCACUUUCAGUGAGGAAGAACGCCUGGUGGUUAAUACCCAUCAGGAAAGACAUCACUCACAGAAGAAGCACCGGCUAACUCCGUGCCAGCAGCCGCGGUAAUACGGAGGGUGCGAGCGUUAAUCGGAAUUACUGGGCGUAAAGCGCGCGUAGGUGGCUUGAUAAGCCGGUUGUGAAAGCCCCGGGCUCAACCUGGGAACGGCAUCCGGAACUGUCAAGCUAGAGUGCAGGAGAGGAAGGUAGAAAUCCCGGUGUAGCGGUGAAAUGCGUAGAGAUCGGGCGGAAUACCAGUGGCGAAGGCGGCCUUCUGGACUGACACUGACACUGAGGUGCGAAAGCGUGGGUAGCGAACAGGAUUAGAUACCCCUGUAGUC
rnacentral:rRNA from 1 species